UUGCAUUCAGCUUUUAUUUAAUUUGAAAUAAUUCCACCAUCUUUCUUUAUCUCAUGACAUUGACAUCUUUUUGGAGUACAAGCAAUAAUACAUUUUGUAGAAUAUCCCUCAAUUUAGGUUUGUCAGAUGUUUCUUUAUGAUCAGAUCUAGGAUGUAGCAGACAUGAUGUUUUCUUCUCAAUGUAUCACUUCAAGAGGCAUAUAAUACCAAUUUAUCCCAUGUCCUUCUUUUUAAAGUACUUAGCAUCUAGGAUUGGUGACAGAUACACAGAGGAAAUAACUGUGAUAUAGUCUGAUUAGCACAGUAAGAGAGGCGUGUGUGUGUGUGUGUGACAUCUUUUAUUCCUUCCCUACAAUCUCUUAGCUCCCCUUUUUCUGUAGCUAUUUCUGCCAUAACCAACUAUGUAUGCGCUGCCACGGUCUUGCAUCAAGUGCACAGAUCAUCUCUUGCUUUUUUGCACUAAGGGCUUUUUUGCUACCACCAUGUGCAAUGCCUGCUGCCCAUCCAGCUAUUUUGGCAUAGGCAUAGGCUGGGGAGGGUGAGGGAGCUGACACUCAGUGAGGCAACCUUCUAUCACUGAGAUGUAGAGCCAGUGAAUCCAUCAUCUCCUCUUCUGUGUCAGACAAUUCUGAUGAUUCUGAGACAUAAUUCACGCAGCUCCCAAAGGCCUCCUCAGUAAGACCAAGCUCCAGGUGGCCACAAUAUUGACCAGCUCAAUAGUUCAUCUUUGGAUUGGUUUUCUUUUGUUCCAUUUGUCAUUCUUCUCCAGAAUCCUCUACCCCCCUGCUCCUGUCCUCUGGAAUUAUUUCCCAAAGUAAACCAACUGCAUCCAAGUCCUUGUCUCAGACUCUGCCUUUCAAAGGAACUCAGGAUAAGAUGUUUGAUAUAAGGAGUAGACCUAGAAAGCAGACCAUCAGGAAAGGAUUCUGGAAUUGAAUCCCCUGCCAGUUGGACACUUCCACUGCAGGUAGAAAGUGUAGGUAGUCAUAACCCCUAGCCUGACUCAGGAUCACUAAGGUUUCCACUGGCAGAUGUUUAGAAUAAGUAAUGAUGGAAAGUCAAGCAUUUGUUCAUGGACUGGGAAUGGUCCUUGAACAAUUUAAAGACAGGUACUUUUUAAAUUCAAGUAUAAUUAACAUACAGAGUUGUAUUAGUUUUAGGUGUAUAAUAUAAUGAUUCAACAAUGCUAUACAUUUCUCAGGGCUCCUCAGGGUACCUGUACUCUUAAUCUCUUCAUCUGCUUUCCCCAGACCUCUCCCCACCUCCCCCCUGGCAGCCAACCAUUUAAGAGUCUGUUUCUUUGUUUUAUUUCUUAAAUUCCACAUAUAAGUGAAAUCAUAAUGAUAUUUGUCUUCCUCUGAUUGACAUAUUUCAAUUAGCAUUAUACUUUUAGGUCCAUCUGUGUUACAUGAAUCUCUUCAAAUUAGUGUUUUCAUCUUGGGUGGGGGUUAAAUACCUAGUAGUGUAAUUACUGGAUAAUAUGAUAAUUCCAUUUUUAAUAUUUUCAGGAACCUUUAUACUGUUUUCCACAGUGGCCAUAUCGAUUUGCAUUCUUCACCAACACUCAUCAUUUCUUGUCUUUUUUACUUUCGCCAUUCUGACAGGAGUGAAGUGAUAACUCAUUGUGGUUUUGAUUUGCAUUGCCCUGAUGAUUAGUGAUGUUGAGCAUCUUUUCAAGACAGUAGUAUUUGUAAGACCUUGGGAUUGGCUCACUUUUGUUAAGGGCUUUUGAAGACUUUUUUAAAAAGAAAAAAAAAAUAGGCUCAAGGUACCAAGUUUCAGUUCAAGACAGGCUGUGAAAAUCAGAACUCCUCCAAAGCAAUAUUUAAAGACGUACUUAUCUUUUGCACCCAUGGGAAAACUGUGUUGAUAAUCAGAUCUAAGACGGAUAGAUAGUAUAGCUACAAGGAGACUGAAUACACUGCCUUGACAAGUCCUCUAUGCCAAAGGAAUGGUCUUGGUAGGGAAAGAAAAGAACCCUAAGACUUGCAACUGUAGCAUGUAGGUGGGCAAGUCUGAGAAUUCGAACCCCCAGAUUCUUUUGAACUCUCUAUUAGCACAAGUGGCUCUGUGUGCUUUACUUGAGAAGAAUAGCCUCUCAUUUUUGGGAGACAUUACAAAAACCUCAGAUGAGGCAAUUGCCUAUAAUUAAACAAAGAAUAGUAAGACUUGGUUAAUAAUUUACGUGGAAGGAUUGAGGAUACAGGUGUAGGAAUGAAUUUUUAAAGUGUUGGGCCAAGGUGAGCAGCAUAUAAAGGUGGACGGGAGAGAUUGAGAUUGACAUUUAUUGACAUUGAAAAAUACUUUCAAGACAUAGCAAGGAAACAUGGAGCUAGUCCUAAUAUAUUGCUGAGAUGGUUCUCUAAAGUUUGGAUAGAAUGAAGGGCUAUAGGAAAUGAAGGAGAGAUUCUAGGAAUGCCCUAACUGCCUUAAGGAAGGUGUCAGAAGGCUCAGGGUGGUUAGAAUAAAUUUAAAAUACAAGACCUGAGAAUCUACCAUCUGAUUAUGUUCCUUGUGAGGGCCCAGGAGACAUACCCAUCUCCAAGGCAGUCGGAAAUACAGUAAAGAAGGUACCGUUGGCAUCUUUGAAAAGCUCAUUCAUAGCUAUUCACUGCAGUUGACAGUAAGAGAUGCUGCUGUGGAACUGGGCUCCCCAAAAUCAAUUGGACUGAUAAAAAUCCAAAAUAGCAGAGGCCAGAUAGAGCACAUGACAGACAGAAGGAAAAUGUACAUAAUUAUAAUAAUGGGCUGCAAGGUCAGAGUGGCAACCAGCGAAUCUUCACCCACAGGACUCUGUGAUGAUGAUUAAUAGACCAUGGUGUUCCUCAGGGCACGUUAAAUGAGCAUCCACUAGGGUGUUACCUGACCUAUGUGUAUAACCAGAAACAGUCAACAGCUGCUGAACCGAAGGCUGAUGCCAGCUAUCUCCAUGAAAUGUCACAAGCUCUCACUCACUUUACAGAUCAAGCAAGUUUCAGACCUGAAACUCAUCAUUUGAAGGGGAGGCUGAGACCCACCACUAGUAGAACAAGUAUAUAUAUACAACAAAUAUAUUUCCAAUUAUUCUCCAAAAGGACACACACAAGGAAACCGGAUAGGUCAGAUUCCUCUCACAGUGCUCCCAUGAAGUCAUAGACCCGGUUUUGCUUAUCUCCCUGGUUUCCAAGUGAAUGACUGGAAGGGAUAUACUUAGAAACUAGAAGAAACUUCAUUUUGGUUUCUUGUCCUGUGCAGUGAAAAUUAUUAUAAGUGGAAGGACCAGUGGAAGCCCCUGAAGCUGCACAUUCUGACUGGCUAAGAUAGUGAAUCUGAAGGAAUAUAGCAUCCUGAAAGGAAAUAUAGAGGCCAGUGUCCCCACUGAAGACUUAAGGGAUGCGCAGGUGUUGGUAGCCAUCAUAUCUCUGUUCGACUCACCUAUUUAGCCUGUUUAGCCACUGCAAAAACCAGAUCCAUCAUAGAAAGUUAUGGUGGACUACUAUGAAUUUAAUCUAAGAAUAUCUUCAUCACAGCUGCUGUGCCAGAUAUGGCAUAUUUGAUAGAAGAUAAUCACACAGCUUUUGGCACCUAGUCCAUAGUUAUUGCUUUAGUGAAUAGGUUCUUCUCAAUCCCUGUCAGUAAAAAGGAGCAAAAGCAGUUAUCAUUUAUGUGGGAAGGGGAGCAGAACAUACUCAUUUUCUUGCCCCAGAGCUAUGUUAACUUGCGGCUUUCUGUCACAAUAUAUGUGGUCCACAAGAACAUUGACUUUCUAUAGAACAUCAUGCUACACUGAUAAGUUGAGUAGCAAGAUGCUUCCACACCUGCUGAUAACCAUAAAUGGACAAAUGCAACAGCCUUUAUCCAAUCAGGCUAAAGCAACGUAGGGCUUUCGCCCCUCCAAGAUGAAGAAGCGGGUAAGCCACCAGAUAAGCAACCUAGAUGAAGCAGAGUGGUGGGAGAGAGAGAGGAAGAAUAUUAAUUAUGACCUUGAGAGCAAUUGCAGCUGGUAAGGGAACGUUGCUUGUUUCUCUAACGCUCCUGUGUCAGAUCUUUUGUGGGCAUUGCUGUCAGCUACUGCCUUGAAGGCUCCCUGAUAGACUACAUGUAAGGCAGGCCACUAGCAGACCUGGGUGACACACAUUGUGGAGUAUACUAGACAUCUCUUACGCUGACCCCAAUCCAGUUGGGCAACGUGACUGAUAGAUGAUAGCUACUACCUCUUACUUUCCACCCUGGGGCUUUUCUGCUCUGCAAACCUGGAAGUAGGAGAGUUAAUAGGCCCUAAGGCAACAAUAUCAGUAGGGAACAAGAUGCUUCCUUCCAUCUAUGUGGCAGCGAACAAUUCCUAACUC
rnacentral:lncRNA from 1 species